rnacentral:rRNA from 1 species
UACGAAUGGAGCGAGCGUUGUUCGGAAUCAUUGGGCGUAAAGCGUAUGUAGGCGGACUGAUCAGUCAGACGUGAAAUCCCGAGGCUCAACCUCGGAAUUGCGUUUGAUACUGUCAGUCUAGUGUCCCGGAGGGGUUGACGGAAUUCCUAGUGUAGAGGUGAAAUUCGCAGAUAUUAGGAGGAACACCAGUGGCGUAGGCGGUCAACUGGACGGGUACAGACGCUGAGAUACGAAAGCGUGGGGAGCAAACAGG